UACGUAGGGAGCGAGCGUUGUCCGGAUUCAUUGGGCGUAAAGAGCUCGUAGGCGGCUUGGCAAGUCGGGUGUGAAACCUCCAGGCUCAACCUGGAGACGCCACCCGAUACUGUCGUGACUAGAGUCCAGUAGGGGAGCGUGGAAUUCCUGGUGUAGCGGUGAAAUGCGCAGAUAUCGGGAGGAACACCGGUGGCGAAGGCGGUUCUCUGGGCCUGUACUGACGCUGAGGAGCGAAAGCGUGGGGAGCGAACAGG
rnacentral:rRNA from 1 species